GAGCUCCUCUCAGAUUCAUUUCCCUACACAGAACUUGCGAAUGGAGUGCUCUGUAAGUACAAGGGUCGUUAAUUAAGGGAGCCAUCGAUGUAAAUAUCGGGGGCGAGUCCAUCUGCUGAAGAUGUGAAAAGAUGGAUGAUUGCAUUGUAUCUUUCCAAAAGAUUGACACCAAAAGCUACUUGUCACCAUGGAAGUGACAUUACUGGAGUGAAUUCAGAAGCAUGCAUGGUCCUUUUGAUGCAGUGGUGGAUGACGCAAACCGUACCACUCAACGGGAAAAAAAGACUUGAUGACGGCUCACAUACUCGAAGGGUUCUUUAGCUGGCACUUAGACUGCUACUACUAUGAAAAAAGUCAAUAGAAUGCGAUAGGGGAGGAAAAAAAGCUCGACUAAGGCCUCUUGAAGUCUUUGUAGCUGUUCCUGGACUUUAGCUAGGUCCACCAGAAAGAAAGGUUGUUGGCAAAAGCGUGGCUUAGGUGUGACAGGUAUUCAGUUGCCACCAGCUCUUAAGCACACCCAUUGGCAUGGGAUCGGAAGACUUCUAGUUUUGUAAAUGUGUCCAUAACUAUUUUAAUUUCUCACAGUUCAGAUCUCUUGCCAAUAAAUUAAGACAGAUGAGUGAAUCGAAGCAGUUAUUUUGCACAAUAAUUAUGCAACUGUUGGUCCUGCAACAUCCUAAUAACAAGAAGUUGUUAGAGAACUGGAAAAAAACGGGUUCUCACUUCCCCCAACGCGACUCAAACCUUCAGCCUACCGGUUGAUGGUAGAGGUGCUUAACCACUUGAGCUACCCUUGCUUGUCAAGAUGGAGGUGUUGGUGAUCAAGCCGUCAAGGCUGUUGAUAAUGGUGAGAGCACGGUGAUUUUUACCUUUUGAUACUAUUUGCCUGUAGUUCAAUUUUGUAAUGCAACUUUAAUAGCAGCUUGGGUUUGCGUGCUGUAUGUGGAUUGGUUGAAGAAUUAACAUGUAUACUAAUUAUUUUUCAUUUGUUAC